CCAGGUGCUACAAACUCGGAAGCCCCGACUGUUAAUUAAAAACACAAUUCAGAGCGAUGAUGACAAUCAUAGUAAUCUGAAUGAAAUUUGCUCAAUGCCAUUAAUAUAAGAAAGGUGAUAGUUAAAGUUACUGAUCGAAAGUCUGGUCAAUAGCGGUCUUAACUAUGAGGAUCCAAAGGUAGCAAUCUCGAUUGGCCUUUAAAUGAGGUCGAGUAUCAAUAGUCCAACGAUGGUUUCACUGUCUCUACAACUUGCUCAGUGAAAUUGAACUAGCCGUGCAGAUGCGGUUUAACUCAAGGUAGACGGAAGACCCUAUGCAGCUUU
rnacentral:rRNA from 1 species